UUUAAAUCUAAUAAAAUUAACUAGAUGCAACAAGUAUAGCAAGUAAUAAUCACAAAUAUGCAACUAAAUAUAGAAAAAUAAAGAGUGAAGGGAAGAAAAAUAAUACGCGAUGAUUUAUAGUGGUUCGGUCUCCUUGUGAGUCUAUAUCCACUCUCCGAAACUUCUUUCUAAGAUUUAAUCCAUCAUGCUUAUCCAAAACUUUACAAACCGCUUGUCUUCCGCGUGCAAGCAACCUUUACACUUGGUGAUAUCCGAGCUAACUCUUGGUUGAUCUACUCCCUCAAAUACUUUCUUGUUUAUCUAGAGUAUGAUCCUCCCAGGCAAUUUUCCUCUUUGUGUCCUCUAGUCUCAAGAGUUUCUUUCAUCUUCGAUCCUCUUUAUCACUUAAGCUAACAAGAGCUCAACGACUCUCUUACAAUGCUUAAUCAAAAUAACAAAAAUAAAAGCACUACACUCAA
rnacentral:lncRNA from 1 species